rnacentral:rRNA from 1 species
UACAGAGGGGGCAAGCGUUGUUCGGAAUUACUGGGCGUAAAGGGCGCGUAGGCGGCCUUCUAAGUCGAACGUGAAAUCCCCGGGCUCAACCCGGGAACUGCGUCCGAUACUGGAAGGCUUGAAUCCGGGAGAGGGAUGUGGAAUUCCAGGUGUAGCGGUGAAAUGCGUAGAUAUCUGGAGGAACACCGGUGGCGAAGGCGGCUCACUGGCCCGAUACUGACGCUGAGGCACGAAAGCGUGGGGAGCAAACAGG